rnacentral:lncRNA from 1 species
CAUGGCACCAGAGUUAUUUAUAUAAUCAUAUAUAUUUUAUACAGUAUUUACUAGUAAGUAGAAGACAAGCAAAUAAUUUAGGAUGUUCAAAUGAAAUGCUACGUUUAUCAUAUCUGUAAACUUAAAACUGCUCUUGAUGGUUAGAUUUUAAUUUGUCUUUUUAGAAUCUAAUGCAUUCUGGGUAAUAUUUUUAAAAGCAUACACCAAAACCAUGUGAUUGGCCAGCACACAAUGAAAAUUCAACCAAUGGAGUGAGGUUAUUGGCAAUGAACCGAGAAUAAACAAUGCCAAGACUUUAAUUUGUAGUACUGUAGUUUAUAAAACAAUGAAUGCUUUAUUUUGUUGCAAAACAA